AUUAUACUCCCUCCGUUCCACAAUACAUGCCUUCCAUUUAUCAACAUAUAGAUGUAUCUAGACAUGUUUUAGUAUAUAGAUACAUUCAUUUUUGAACAAAUGUAAGUCAAAUAUUUUGAAACGGAGGGAGUAUCAG
rfam:Triticum aestivum genome assembly, contig: Triticum_aestivum_CS42_TGACv1_scaffold_289016_4AL